rnacentral:rRNA from 1 species
GUAACCUACGGGGGGCAGCAGUGGGGAAUAUUGCACAAUGGGGGAAACCCUGAUGCAGCAACGCCGCGUGAGUGAAGAAGUAUUUCGGUAUGUAAAGCUCUAUCAGCAGGGAAGAAGAUGACGGUACCUGAUUAAGAAGCCCCGGCUAACUACGUGCCAGCAGCCGCGGUAAUACGUAGGGGGCAAGCGUUAUCCGGAUUUACUGGGUGUAAAGGGAGCGUAGACGGCAUAGCAAGUCUGAAGUGAAAGCCCAAGGCUCAACCAUGGGACUGCUUUGGAAACUGUU